CCUACGGGAGGCAGCAGUGAGGAAUAUUGGUCAAUGGACGAGAGUCUGAACCAGCCAAGUAGCGUGAAGGAUGACUGCCCUAUGGGUUGUAAACUUCUUUUAUAUGGGAAUAAAAUGUUCCACGUGUGGGAUUUUGUAUGUACCAUAUGAAUAAGGAUCGGCUAACUCCGUGCCAGCAGCCGCGGUAAUACGGAGGAUCCGAGCGUUAUCCGGAUUUAUUGGGUUUAAAGGGAGCGUAGGUGGAUUGUUAAGUCAGUUGUGAAAGGUUGCGGCUCAACCGUAAAAUUGCAGUUGAAACUGGCAGUCUUGAGUACAGUAGAGGCGGGCGGAAUUCGUGGUGUAGCGGUGAAAUGCUUAGAUAUCACGAAGAACGCCGAUUGCGAAGGCAGCUCACUGGACUGCAACUGACACUGAGGCUCGAAAGUGUGGGUAUCAAACAGGAUUAGAUACCCUAGUAGUC
rnacentral:rRNA from 1 species